rnacentral:rRNA from 1 species
ACGAACGCUGGCGGCAUGCCUAACACAUGCAAGUCGAACGAGACCUUCGGGUCUAGUGGCGCACGGGUGCGUAACGCGUGGGAACCUGCCCUUAGGUUCGGAAUAACUCCCCGAAAGGGGUGCUAAUACCGGAUAAUGUCUUCGGACCAAAGAUUUAUCGCCUUUGGAUGGGCCCGCGUUGGAUUAGCUAGUUGGUAGGGUAAAAGCCUACCAAGGCGACGAUCCAUAGCUGGUCUGAGAGGAUGAUCAGCCACACUGGGACUGAGACACGGCCCAGACUCCUACGGGAGGCAGCAGUGGGGAAUAUUGGAAAAUGGGCGAAAGCCUGAUCCAGCAAUGCCGCGUGAGUGAUGAAGGCCUUAGGGUUGUAAAGCUCUUUUACCCGGGAUGAUAAUGACAGUACCGGGAGAAUAAGCUCCGGCUAACUCCGU